GUUUGGGGUCUCUAUGGGGUCUCUAUGGGGUGUUUUGUGGCCUCUAUGGGGUCUCUAUGGGGUGGUUUGGGGUCAAUAUGGGGUCACUGUGGGGUGUUUUGGGGUCUCUAUGGGGUCACUGUGGGGUGGUUUGGGGGUCCUGGGAUGGUUUGGGGUCUCUAUAGGGUGGUUUGGGAUCACUGUGGGGUCUCUAUGGGGUGGUUUGGGGUCACUAUGGGGUGGUUUGGGGUUUUAGGGUUCGAUUUUGGUCUAAUUUGUGUCUGA
rnacentral:lncRNA from 1 species